rnacentral:rRNA from 1 species
GAUGAACGCUGGCGGCGUGCCUAAUACAUGCAAGUCGAGCGAACGGACGAGAAGCUUGCUUCUCUGAUGUUAGCGGCGGACGGGUGAGUAACACGUGGAUAACCUACCUAUAAGACUGGGAUAACUUCGGGAAACCGGAGCUAAUACCGGAUAAUAUUUUGAACCGCAUGGUUCAAAAGUGAAAGACGGUCUUGCUGUCACUUAUAGAUGGAUCCGCGCUGCAUUAGCUAGUUGGUAAGGUAACGGCUUACCAAGGCAACGAUGCAUAGCCGACCUGAGAGGGUGAUCGGCCACACUGGAACUGAGACACGGUCCAGACUCCUACGGGAGGCAGCAGUAGGGAAUCUUCCGCAAUGGGCGAAAGCCUGACGGAGCAACGCCGCGUGAGUGAUGAAGGUCUUCGGAUCGUAAAACUCUGUUAUUAGGGAAGAACAUAUGUGUAAGUAACUGUGCACAUCUUGACGGUACCUAAUCAGAAAGCCACGGCUAACUACGUGCCAGCAGCCGCGGUAAUACGUAGGUGGCAAGCGUUAUCCGGAAUUAUUGGGCGUAAAGCGCGCGUAGGCGGUUUUUUAAGUCUGAUGUGAAAGCCCACGGCUCAACCGUGGAGGGUCAUUGGAAACUGGAAAACUUGAGUGCAGAAGAGGAAAGUGGAAUUCCAUGUGUAGCGGUGAAAUGCGCAGAGAUAUGGAGGAACACCAGUGGCGAAGGCGACUUUCUGGUCUGUAACUGACGCUGAUGUGCGAAAGCGUGGGGAUCAAACAGGAUUAGAUACCCUGGUAGUCCACGCCGUAAACGAUGAGUGCUAAGUGUUAGGGGGUUUCCGCCCCUUAGUGCUGCAGCUAACGCAUUAAGCACUCCGCCUGGGGAGUACGACCGCAAGGUUGAAACUCAAAGGAAUUGACGGGGACCCGCACAAGCGGUGGAGCAUGUGGUUUAAUUCGAAGCAACGCGAAGAACCUUACCAAAUCUUGACAUCCUUUGACAACUCUAGAGAUAGAGCCUUCCCCUUCGGGGGACAAAGUGACAGGUGGUGCAUGGUUGUCGUCAGCUCGUGUCGUGAGAUGUUGGGUUAAGUCCCGCAACGAGCGCAGCCCUUAAGCUUAGUUGCCAUCAUUAAGUUGGGCACUCUAAGUUGACUGCCGGUGACAAACCGGAGGAGGGUGGGGAUGACGUCAAAUCAUCAUGCCCCUUAUGAUUUGGGCUACACACGUGCUACAAUGGACAAUACAAAGGGCAGCGAAACCGCGAGGUCAAGCAAAUCCCAUAAAGUUGUUCUCAGUUCGGAUUGUAGUCUGCAACUCGACUACAUGAAGCUGGAAUCGCUAGUAAUCGUAGAUCAGCAUGCUACGGUGAAUACGUUCCCGGGUCU